UGAGGAAUAUUGCGCAAUGGACGAAAGUCUGACGCAGCGACGCCGCGUGGAGGAUGAAGGCCUUCGGGUUGUAAACUUCUGUUAAGUGGGAAGAAAUACUGGCUUUUAAUAGAAGUCGGGGAUGACGGUACCAUUAGAGAAAGCACCGGCUAAUCUCGUGCCAGCAGCCGCGGUAAUACGAGAGGUGCAAGCGUUAUUCGGAAUUACUGGGCGUAAAGGGUGUGUAGGCGGCUUGUCAAGUCCAUCGUUAAAUCUCUCGGCCUAACUGAGAGUUCGCGGUGGAAACUGACUUGCUAGAGUGAGGAAGAGAGAGGUGGAAUUCUCGGAGUAGCGGUAAAAUGCGUAGAUCUCGAGAAGAACACCGAUGGCGAAGGCAGCCUCUUGGUCCUUUUCUGACGCUGAGACACGAAAGCGUGGGGAGCAAACAGG
rnacentral:rRNA from 1 species